UUGAGAGCUAAGCAAGAGAAAAACAAAGAGGGGAAGAGGAAAGGCAAGGAAAAACAGGCAAUCCCAGAGAGGAGGGCUCAGUAGAGAGACAGGAUCUCACUCUGUCAUUCAGGCUGGAGUGCAGUGGUGUGAUCUCGGGUCACUUCAGCUUUGACCUCCCAGGCUCAGGCGAUCCUCCCAGAUCAGCCUCCUAAGGAGCCGCAACUACAGUUCGGUGUUCAAGAGAUUUGUUCACUGCCAAUCCUGCUACAGAAGCUGGAGGAUCACUUGAGACCAGGAGUUCAAGACCAGCCUGGGCAACAUAUCAAGACCCUGCAUCUGCAAAAAAUGAAUUUGCCAGGUGUGAUGGUGCAUGCCUGUAGUCCCAGAUACCUGGAAGGCUGAGGUGGGAGGAUCACCUGAGACCAGGAAGUCAAUGCUGCAGUGAGCCAAGAAUGUACCACUGCCUUCCAGCCUGGGCAACAGGAGUAAGACCUGGUCUCAAAAAAAAUAAAUGAGGAAAAUAAUAAUUAAAUGGAAACUGCUAU